UCUGGUGGUUAGAGCGAGGUAGUACCACCCGUUCCCAUCCCGAACACGGAAGUGAAAUGCCUCAGCGCAGACGAUACUGGGGAGGCAGCUCUCUGGGAAAAUAUGCCACCGCCGGGG
rnacentral:rRNA from 1 species